GAAUUUUACGAAAGACUUGUUGAAUACUGUGUAGAUCUAUAUGAAAUCGUUUUGACAUAAAUUAGGUUGCCGGAACCACUGCGGUGUACGUACGAUAGGCGAACGAGAAUGAUGGGUGGCGUGGUCGGUGGUCUCGCAAAUAAUGAGCUCCUCAGCAGUCCGUCCUAGUGUAGUAGUUGUUGAGGACAAAGCAUGAGGUAGGAUAGGCAGGCAGGCAGGCAGGCGAGCCGGAGGUCUGAGGUCUGAGCUCCCUCAGGUCCCCGUCUUGCCAGUGAGCCGUGCCCGUGGGGGGAUGUUUCGACCAGAGGAAAAUUUCGGGCGCCACCGUCUGGAGGGAUGGGGACACUGUCUCCUCUUUUGUCUCCGCGGGCCGGGGCGGGGCUGUGUCGCGCUGGCUUCGGCGGUCCUGUGUUUGGUGGCGGGGCGGACGGAGGAGGGAGAGGAGGGGCCGCGGUCGGCGGCGGAGGCAGGAGGAGGAGCAGCAGCAGAGGAGGAUGGGGGCUUUUCCGACUCUAGCGGCCAAGCGCCCGGUAAACUAAAACCGCGCGCCAAAGAUGAAAGAUCGGCACGAAGGGUACCGGCCCAGGUAGCGCCGGCGCCGGAAGAAGGGCCCCGGCGGCCCCGGCGGCGGCGGCGGGUUCUCGCGGGACCCGCUCGCAGGCCUGUCGGACCUGCAGGCGCCGUAGCGGCGCUCCGUCCGGAGCAGCAGGAGGCGGCACUCCCGGCGGUCCUGCGCGCGGGUGCGCCGGCAGGGGUUCCACUUGCCGCCGCCGUUCAGCCGCGACCGCCUGCGCCUCGUGCUGCGGUACGGGAGCCGCCGCGUCGGCUCCUGCAAGAUGUUGGUCGACGGGCUGACCUCGUACGAGGAGCGCCGGUAGUGGUGGUAGAAGGACCGGCGGCUCUUCGUCACCUGCGACGAGCUGACCUUCGGGUUCGCCGGGCUGUACGAGCAGCUGUGCGACCCGAAGCCGUGGUAGCAUGUGCUGCCGCAGUACAAGUCCGUCUUGAAGAGGUAGUCCAGGAUGCUCUAACCCCGACUGGCCUGCCGCAGGUAACUCUGCGAGUACUUGGUAGACGUCCUUUGACGUGAGUUAGUACACUUCCAGCAACCCGACGAUCCUCUACCGAAGCCAAGCUGCGGCCUCUACUCAUUUGCCUUGAACAAGACCCAACAGUCGGUUUACGUCCGGUAGCAGCUCGCAAUAGGUACGACCCCACUAUGACAACUCCACUUGUGGACCCAACCGGUAGUACCAUUUUUGCCCUACGCAGCCCUGACCGUAUAUGCACUAAGACACUGCCCGGAAUGUCAUGACUUCCGCUGUUCAUUUACCCAAUACUACUUGUUCCAAUGAUCUUCCGAACGUUCUUAAGGUCUACUUCAUGCCUGACUUUAUCUCGGCAAGAAAAGACUCAUACGACGAUAACUACUGGUUCUGUUGGCUUUUAAAGGUUUUGACGGCCUCGUACUGGCACGAUGGAGUCGGUUUAUACAGGCCUGUCCGGACUGAGGUGCCACCCGACUAGAACUAUAGUUAGUCGUACAGUUAUUACAAUUUAUGUAACCGACCUAGGAACUCUCGCGCGGUUAGAGGUAGGACCUCUUGGUACUUGACCGCUCGUAUCAGGACCUGAUGUUUGCCCUCACGCCGGCCUUGUCGCAGGACCUCAGCGUGUGGUGCCACGUGUGGCUGACGCGGCUGCUCAGGCCUCUUUGUUGAGACGUGACGCUCGUAGACGACUCGGACCUCAGUCCUGGCUGGUAGCACUUCCGGGCCUGGUACACCGCCGGGUUCCCCCGGUUCAGGGUCCUUUGCCGCCGAGACAGCACCACUAAAAGCCGCCUUUUUUAGUGUGUAACGUGUAUGUAUACCUACGGAUAUUAGGGUAGUACCGUAACGUUUCCCUACGGGUUCAAUAUAUGUAUAUGUAUCUUACCUUCACACACUUCCACCUCCCCCAGUCUCCCCAUAUCCUCUCGCUAGUCUUCGUCUCUUCCGUUUAACCACAACAUUAAUAGACUCAAACAUCGAUGACGCCACACUACCCUCCACUUACGAAGGGUGUGGUGUGGACCCCAGACAGACAGACAGACAGACAGACCCCGACACAGAUAUAAUGCUCGGGGACUUCCGUCGGACGAAAUAGGAAUGACUUGAAAUUCUAGCAUAUAACAUGACUAAAAUAACAUUUACACUCUAGCCGAGGAAGAGAGGACCAACAACGGCUUUGCACAACUUUGAACUCUAGGACCCAGAACUCGACAGGUCGGAACUCUACCACGCCGACGAUUUACGAAAGUUCUCAACGGAGCUGGACGGACGCAUCAACCUCGUCCGUUCCGUCCGUCGAACUGCACUCGUUACCGCCCGAGUCGAAUAAAAUAGCCCCAACUGUGUAGUUUAGACUUUUCGUUAAAGACACGUUCUUGUACGCCUGAGGAUUCCCGAGUAGACCAAGUUUCCUUAUCCUUUAAAAGGAUAUUAUUACAAUGAUAAGUACAGAAACCAAGCUUCUUUACCCCGCUUCCUUUUAACCUCCCUAAAAAAGGACACUAGGGCCAAAGUUUCCUUUUUGUGGGUUCAAAAGGAAACCGUUACAAGUAAUCCUAAUGGACACAAAAGGUCAAGGUCACUUUGUUUGUCGUUUCAACUGUCUUAGGGAGAUUCUGGGUGUACAAAGACCGAUCAUCCUCAUGAAGUCUACGUCAAAGAGCCUCUGACAUGACAACCGUACUGUUCGGAAAAACCAUCAGGUACGUACUUGCCUGGACGUCUAUCAUAUAUUAAUUCCUUGCAGAUCGAAAAGAACGAACAGUUCGAAGACCUCGGCCUCGAAGAGCACGUCGUAAGUCGCCUUAAUAUAACAUGACGGAGACAACUCACAACUGGUCGUGUUAGAUCGCACCAGACUCUGGACGUCCGCCGAACACCUAGCUCAGUUCGC
rnacentral:rRNA from 1 species